rnacentral:misc_RNA from 1 species
ACUUAGAUCUAGAAAUAGACUAAGGGUUAAGAGGGUUUUAAUAGAUUGAUUAAAGAACCUAAUGGGUCUUGGUUAAUUUUAACUCCACGAAAGUAGGAUUAAGUUAAUUAAGACACUCUUUAUCUCACUCGAAAGGGUAUUCAAAGGAUUUAAGAAUUAAUCUCCUUAAAACUCAUAAGUUUCAUAAGAUUGGACAACCAAUUUAAAAUCCCAAAAUAGCUCGAAUAUGAAAUCCCGAACUCCGGAAUCGCCUUUUUAUCUUUGAUUAAUUUUCAAUUAAUUGCUUGCCAUUUUGAAUAUUGCCAUAUUUGAACUUGCUUAUUUCAAUUUGAUGCAAUUUUAGUUAAAUCAUUACAUAGUUGAAUAGACUAUUAAUUUUGCACAUAUAAAUUUCACACUCCAAUACCCAUUCAAUCUAUUAUUUUAAUUUCAAAAUUAG